GGCCCCAUAGCUUAGCCUGGCAAGAGCGCUGGUCUUAUAAGCCAGAGGUCCUGGGUUCAAAUCCCGGUGGGGCCA
rnacentral:tRNA from 1 species